UUCACUGUGUUGGCCAGGCUGGUCUCAAACCCCUGACCUCAGGUGAUCCACCUGCCUGGGCCUCCCAAAGUGCUGGGAUUGCAGGCAUGAGCUACUGUGCCCGGCCCCCUCCUUGACUUCUUCCCCAGCACCCUUCUGUCUCCUCUGUAGAUUGCAGCUGCCCUUGUGGCCUUAAAAGUACGGGGUGAAUCUGUUCCCGUCACACCUGCCAGCACAGCCUCCAUUGCUUCACUCAGAGUGAAAGCUCAUCUCCCUGCCUCGCAUGAGGCCCUGUGUGAUGGGGUCACUCUGCCUUCCCCACCUUCUUUCCUGCUGGCCCCUUCUUGCUUUCUCAGCUGUGGCCACACUGGCCUUUGCUGUUCCUCACAUGGGUCAAGCUCAGUUCCCACCUCAGGGCCUUUGCAUGUUGCUAUUGCCCUUUCCUGGAUCAUUUUCCCAGAUAUCUUCCUGGCUCUCCUUCAUUUGCUGAGAUACUGCCUUAUCGGAAAGGCGCUCCCUGUCGGACUUAUGUAAAGUGGUGCCCCUGGUGUCAUGCCUGUACUCUGUCCCCCUGGUGUCAUGCCUGUACUCUGUCCCCCAUACUUCAGCUUUCCUUUUCUCCAUAGAACUUAGCCCCUCUGGACAGAGCAUGAGUACAUGCUUCAUUCAUUGCAUGUCUAGUUUCUGUCCCACCACACCAGAGUGUAGGCACCACAAAGCCAAGAACUUUAUUCAGCGUAAUGCUGUAUUCCCAGGGCAGAAAGCAUGGCCCGGCACCUAACAGGUACUUACCAGGUCUUUGUCAUAUAAACGAAAGGGAACGACUGAGUCCCCAUAUACAUUUGAUCCAUGAAAAACACGGGUUUGAACUACACGGACCCGCCUCUGUGCAGAAGUUUUUCGGUAAACAUAUUGAGAAAGUUUUUUGGAGAUUUGCAACAAUUUGAGAAAACUUGCAGAUGAAUUGUGCAGCCUGGGAAUAGUGAAAAAAAUUAAGAAAUUUAGGUAUGUCAGAAAUACAUAGAAUGUACGUCGAUGCUAGUCUAUGUAUUGAUUGACUGUUUAUGUUAUUGGUGAGGCUUCCAGUUAUCACUAUUAGUAGUUACGUUUUUGGGUAGUCAAAAUACAUAGUCAGAGAUUUUACCAUGUGUGUUGGGGCGGAGGGCGACCCCAGUCCCCUGUGUUAUUCAAGGAUCAACUGUACUUCAUUUUGAAUUCGUCUGCUAUGUGUCUGGAUCCCACACGCACUCAGCAUUUCCCCAUUUGAUGUCGUGGAGCAAAGAUGAGCGUUGGAUUUCAGCAGCCCUGGGCUUGAAUGCCGGCUCCUCCAUUUCCCAAGCGGUUAGUGCUGGACAAGUGAGCUUCCUGUCUGAUGCUUCAUUUCUUCACUUGCAGAAUGGAGAGCACAUGCCUCACAUUGCAGGCUGUUGGAAGAAUGGAGGUUUGGGUGCUCAGGAUUUAUUAGCUCUUAUACUGCCUGAAUUCAGUGUUAGGCAAACAGAGAAAAGCCUUUUAAAAAAUAGCUUUACUGAGGUAUAAUUCAUAGACCAUAAAAUUUGCCCCAGUGAAAUUGAAACGAGAGUGAGAUACCACCUUACAUCUGCAAGCAUGGUCAUAAUUAAAAAGUCAAAAAACAAUAAAUGUUGGCUUGGAUGUGGUGAGAAGGAGGUGCUUUCCUACUGCCGGUGAGGAUGUAACUUAGCAUAGCUACUAUGGAAAACAGCAUUGAGAUUCCGUAAAGAACUAAAAGAACUACCUUUUGAUCCGGCAAUCUCACUACUGGGUAUCUACCCAAAGGAAAAGAAGUCAUAUGAAAAAGACACAAGCACACAAACGUUUACAGCUGCACAAUUCACAGCUGCAACGAUGUGGGCGCUAAGUCCCACUCAACCAAGAAGUGGAUAAAGAAAAUGUGGCAUAUAUACGCCGUGGAAUACUGUUAAGCCAUAACAAAAAAUAAAAAAAGAAAAGAAAUGAUGUCUUUUGCGGCAACUUGGAUGGAGCUGGAGCCCGAUAGUCUAAGAGAAGUAGCUCAGGAAUGGAAAACCAAAUACUACAUGUUCUCAUUUAUAAGUAGAAGGGAGCUAAACUAUGAGGACACAAAGGCAUAGAGAGAUAUAAUGGACCCUGGGGACUUGGGGGUGGGGGAGGCUGGGAGAGGGAUGAGGGAAUGAGGAAUAAAGGACAACAUAUUGGAUGCAAUAAUCUCAGAAUUCACCACUAAAGAACUCAUCCAUGUAACGAAAAACCACUGGUACCCCAAAAACGAUUGAAAUCUUAAAGAAAAUUAAAUUAUACAAAGUAUACACAGGUCAGUUGUUUAGUGUAUUCAUAGAGUUGUGCAACUAUUAGCACCUUUCAAUUUGAAAACAUUUUCGUCACCCCUGAAAUGGAACGUCUUUCUCAUGAGCAGUCACUUCCAUUAUGCCCUCCCUGCCAGGUGCUGCCAAACACUAAUUUACUUUCUGUGUCUGUUCGAUUUGCGCAUUCUUGACAUUUCACGUAAACAGAAUCAUACACUAUGUGGCCUUAUGUGACUGCCUUGUUUCACCACCAUGACGUUGGAAAGGUCCAUCCAUGUUGUAAUGGGUAUGGAGACACCAUAUUUUGUUCAUUCCUCUGUUGAUGGAUAUCUGGGUUUUCACUCUUUCCCUAUGAAGGAUAAUUCUGCUGUGAAGGUUUGUAUACACAUUUGGUGUAAACGAGAAAGCCUCUUACUGGAUUCCUCCAAGGAAUCCAACAAGGAUUGGAUGUAUUGAAGUCCUCCAAGCCAGAUCCAGGACGCCUUCUCUGUGUGGUGCUGCAGAUCAUCCUGUAGCUCCUAAACUUGCUUCUUUCAAAUGAAGAACGUAUUCUGAGAGAGCUAGUUCACUCCAGCACGCAUCCUUUGGAUACGGCAUCAAUGUAUUAUUUUCUCACUAUUUCAUAUGACUAGCCGGUUAUUCACUUGAUUUUGCUACCUGCAAUAGCCCAUCUUAGCUCAUCCUAUAGGUAAUCUCAUAUGCAAAAUGCUUGGGAUGAGAAGUGUUUCUGAUUUUGGAUUUUUUCAGAUUUUAGAAUAUUUGCAUUAUAUAUACACACUCACCUGCCGGUUGAACACCUGAAAUCCAAAAAUCCAAGAUCUGAAAUGCCCCAGUGAGCUUUUCCUUUGAUUGUCAUUCAGAUUUUGGAGCAUUUCAGAUUUUGGAUUUUUGGAUGAGUGAUGCUCAACCUGUACCUUGAAUAAUGAGAAUUUACUAUAUAAAGGGCUGAGGGAAAGGAUUUUUUCCCCCUAGAGACAGAGUCAGUUCUGUCACCAGGCUGGAGUGCAGUGGCACAAUCUUGGCUCACUGCUGUCUCCGCCUCCCAAGUUCAAGUGAUUCUCCUGCCUCAGCCUCCUGAGUAGCUGGAAUUACAGACGUG